GACGAACGCUGGCGGCGUGCUUAACACAUGCAAGUCGAACGGAAAGGCCCUUCGGGGUACUCGAGUGGCGAACGGGUGAGUAACACGUGGGUGAUCUGCCCUGCACUUUGGGAUAAGCCUGGGAAACUGGGUCUAAUACCGAAUAUGACCAUGCGCCUCCUGGUGUGUGGUGGAAAGCUUUUGCGGUGUGGGAUGGGCCCGCGGCCUAUCAGCUUGUUGGUGGGGUAAUGGCCUACCAAGGCGACGACGGGUAGCCGGCCUGAGAGGGUGACCGGCCACACUGGGACUGAGAUACGGCCCAGACUCCUACGGGAGGCAGCAGUGGGGAAUAUUGCACAAUGGGCGCAAGCCUGAUGCAGCGACGCCGCGUGAGGGAUGACGGCCUUCGGGUUGUAAACCUCUUUCAGCACAGACGAAGCGCAAGUGACGGUAUGUGCAGAAGAAGGACCGGCCAACUACGUGCCAGCAGCCGCGGUAAUACGUAGGGUCCGAGCGUUGUCCGGAAUUACUGGGCGUAAAGAGCUCGUAGGUGGUUUGUCGCGUUGUUCGUGAAAACUCACAGCUUAACUGUGGGCGUGCGGGCGAUACGGGCAGACUUGAGUACUGCAGGGGAGACUGGAAUUCCUGGUGUAGCGGUGGAAUGCGCAGAUAUCAGGAGGAACACCGGUGGCGAAGGCGGGUCUCUGGGCAGUAACUGACGCUGAGGAGCGAAAGCGUGGGGAGCGAACAGGAUUAGAUACCCUGGUAGUCCACGCCGUAAACGGUGGGUACUAGGUGUGGGUUUCCUUCCUUGGGAUCCGUGCCGUAGCUAACGCAUUAAGUACCCCGCCUGGGGAGUACGGCCGCAAGGCUAAAACUCAAAGAAAUUGACGGGGGCCCGCACAAGCGGCGGAGCAUGUGGAUUAAUUCGAUGCAACGCGAAGAACCUUACCUGGGUUUGACAUGCACAGGACGACUGCAGAGAUGUGGUUUCCCUUGUGGCCUGUGUGCAGGUGGUGCAUGGCUGUCGUCAGCUCGUGUCGUGAGAUGUUGGGUUAAGUCCCGCAACGAGCGCAACCCUUGUCCUAUGUUGCCAGCGGGUUAUGCCGGG
rnacentral:rRNA from 1 species